GCGAGAGUGGCGGAAUUGGUAGACGCGCCAGACUUAGGAUCUGGUACUUCUUGUGUGUGGGUUCAAGUCCCACCCCUCGCA
rnacentral:tRNA from 4 species